UGAUGUAUUUUUAUCUCUCAGGAGAAUGCGUGUGCUCGCUGUCUGCUGAAAACUUGUAUCUGCUGUCUGUGGUGUUUGGAGACGUGCCUCAACUAUCUCAAUCAGAAUGCAUAUGCAGCCACAGCCAUCAACAGCACCAGUUUCUGCACGUCUGCACGCGACGCCUUCGUGAUCCUGGUGGAAAACGCUCUGCGCGUCGCCACAAUCAACGCCGUCGGAGACUUUGUGCUUUUCCUGGGGAAGAUCUUGAUCGUGACGUCCACGGCGUUCGCCGGCGUCCUCCUCCUGAACUACCAGCGGGAUUACGCCGAGUGGCUACUGCCUCUGAUCAUCGUGUGUCUCUUCUCCUUCCUGGUGGCUCACUGCUUCCUGUCCAUCUUUGAGAUCGUGGUGGACGUCCUCUUCCUCUGCUUCGCCAUCGACACCAAGUACAACGACGGCACUCCGGGGAAAGAGUUCUUCAUGGACAAAGCUCUGAUGGAGUUUGUGGAGAGCAGCCGGCGGUUGGGACGGGCGGUGGAGCGUGGACGGAGCCGGGUGAAGGAGGCGGUGUCAGAGGGGGCGGAGAUGAAGCCCAUGGCUCCGGGGACGAGUUCAGCUUGACCAAAAUCAGCCAAUGGGACUUCUUAAAAAGAACAGAGACAUUCCAAAUGUUUAUUUUUACCAACGUGUAACAUGUUUACUAUGGUUUCACUCCAGGGAAAAAAUAUUUUAAUAUAAACUGUAAAAACGUAACAAUGUAACGAAGCACUUUAUAUUGAAGCGCUGCAGAUCUGAAACCGGCUGAUGCAUUUUUUCGUAGUGAUGUCCUUUUUUAUAAAACGUUACCUGAAGUCAUCACGUUAUAACGUUUUUUAUAAGACUCCACCUGGACGCCAUGUUGGAUCAGGAGUGCUGUGAUGUCAUCAGAGAGGCAGAGUCUGUGGUGGUCCUGGUGUUGUUCGGAGUGUUGAUGGCUGUCGUCAUAGAAACAGAACCUGAUUGUAACCCGAACAGGAUUCUGAUGAACUGUUCAGUUUCAGACGCCACGUCACAACAAACUGCUACGACCAACGUGGGGAGCCCAGCUAGCACCAUUGCUAACAAGCUAAUGAAGCUAAUACAGCUAGCCUGUUGGAACACGAGAUGUUUAAUAGUUAUCAUGUUUUAGUUUCUUUAUGUCAUAUUCCUGCACACUUUGUGAACACUCGAUAUAAAGUCAGAAUUUUUUUACUUUUCAAAGUUAACGGUGGUGAUGACGUAAAAUCAUUCUGGUAUAAAUAUGAAUGAUCAUGUGAA